UACGUAGGGGGCAAGCGUUUGUUCGGAAUUACUGGGCGUAAAGGGCGCGUAGGCGGCAUGGCAAGUCAGGAGUGAAAGGCCUGGGCUCAACCGAGGAACUGCUUUUGAUACUGCCAAGCUAGAGUGCGGAAGGGGCAACUGGAAUUCCCAGUGUAGCGGUGAAAUGCGUAGAUAUUGGGAAGAACACCUGAGGCGAAGGCGGGUUGCUGGGCCGACACUGACACUGAGAGACGAAAGCUAGGGGAGCAAAUGGG
rnacentral:rRNA from 1 species